rnacentral:rRNA from 1 species
UACGAAGGGGGCUAGCGUUGUUCGGAAUUACUGGGCGUAAAGGGCGCGUAGGCGGUGCAUUUGGUCAGGCGUGAAAUUCCUGGGCUCAACCUCGGAACUGCCCUUGAAACUGCAGUGCUAGAAUCUUGGAGAGGCGAGUGGAAUUCCGAGUGUAGAGGUGAAAUUCGUAGAUAUUCGGAAGAACACCAGUGGCGAAGGCGACUCGCUGGACAAGUAUUGACGCUGAGGUGCGAAAGCGUGGGGAGCAAACAGG